UCUCUGAAAGGCUGUCUGGUGGAGGCCGACAGCCUCAAAGUCGCGACUGAGUCUGCGCGCCGGCACCUCGGGCUGGGAAGAGCUUUACUACGAUAAGGCAACUUGAUAAUCAGAUCAAUUUCGGAUUAGAGUCACUGAUCCUGGGGUUCUUUCUGACAAAGGCAGUGACAUACCCAUCUGUGACCUCAUCCCAAGAGUGAACUUAGUUUCUUACUCCAUGGCAACCAGUGUUGGUGUGACCUUACCUAUGUUUAGAAAAUAGAAAGUUUACUGAGGAUUCUCCAUGGCUAAAUGAUGGGAGAAGAGUUGGGCCCCAGAUCCAGGGUGACAGUAAAAGGAGAGGCAAAGGAGGACACAGUCUCAGUGCAGCUGUGGAUCCAACCAAGGAUCACAUGGUGCUUCUUGUUGAGACAUCCAUGAAUCUUCUUUAAUCAGGAGUGGUUAGGCAUCUUUGUCUCUCAUGAAGUUGCCAGUUUUGAAGGUCCAGUUAUUUAAUAGGGAUGUCACAGGAGGGAUUUUGUGUCCUCUGCCGUGUGUCACAUCAAGAGGCCCAGACAGUCAUGUAUCUCCCUCCUUCCUGGUGAUGUUCAGUGAGUGAUCAUUUGAUUAAGAUAAUGACUUUGAAGUUUACCCAGCAUAAAGACAAGUUCUCACUAUGUUGCCAAGGUUGGCCUAAAACUUGGACUUAAGUGAUCCUCCUGCCUCAGCUUCAGAAGUAGCUGGGAUCUCCGCUGGCAGUUGCUGUUUUUAAAGGUUGUCAUCAUAGAAUAUUUCUCAAUGAGCAAAGCCUGGAUCUAGUGGGAAUCAGCUGUGGGAUUGAUGAAGUUUGAACUGUCAACCAUUAGGAUCACACCUCAAGAAUCCUAAUCAGGAGAAAAGCACUUGUUAUCCACCUUUGCUGAGAUGGUUUCCUUGUCCUGGAGUCAGUGCUGGUGGAACAUAGAUAGACAGGCUCUUGCUUUGUUGCCCAGGCUGACCUC